CAUUUUUUACAUUUUUUAAAAAUGCAAUAUUUAAUGUCAGUGCUUGGUAAACAGACAAGUUGAAGUUGUAUUUCACCCCAAAGUUUACAUCAGUAACUGGACACUUAGUAGAAGAUAAGAGCACACUUUCAGCCAAAUGCAAUAAGGCAAUGAGAUUAUCAGCGGGAGACUGGUCAGUUUCUGGAGAAAAGUGUGAAAUUUGAUCCAGAGAUAAGGAUGGUCAAACUAAAGACAAAGAAAUUCACUUGCUUUACAACAUUUUCCCGCCUGUUAGAGAGAACAGAGCAGAACAAAGAAAACUGUGAAUACUGGAGGAAAACCAUUCAACAACAAUGUGAGAUCAUUAUCAACAAUUGGUGAGGAAAAUACAAAGGCAACAGUUAGGAGACUCUUAUCGCACAUGAUAAAAAAUCCACUAGCUACCAAAAUCAACCGGGUCGGAAAAGGGGAAAAAUUGCUUUCUCUUCCUUGAAAUUAAAGGAAGUAUUGAAAGAAACAGUGAUGAAAAAUCAUCUCUGCCCCAAUGCUACCGAUGCAGAAAUACAUGUGUAUUCUAUUGCCAAAUACUGGUUCAGAUUUGCCAGUGAUUGGGAGGGAGGGAGAAAGAAAAGGACAGAGAAAAAGAGUUUUUCCCCACCACAAAACGAAACCAAUCGGGAACAGGAGGCCGGGGAGUGAGCCAGAGGAUGCCACUCAAGAUAAAAUUCUUCAUAACAUGAACUUUUUAAUGUCCUAGCUACUUUGAAAAAUUCAGUAAUAGAAAAUGAAUCGAUCAUACUUGUCUAAUUAAAAUUUGUUUAAUUUCUGUCAGAUAUAUAGGGGUUUUGUUUACAUGUUGUUUUUAAAAAACAUACAAUUGAACAAACUGAUUAAAAAUAGAAUUUUUCCACUUAAAUAUGCAUUAUUUUUCUGUCUCAUACCAAGUUAAUUUGAUUGUUUUUAUGGUUAUAAUAGCAUUGAGAAAUAUAUUUUAAAUGGUGAAUUGAUUUUAACCAGAAAAACAAAAUGUUGAGUUACAUUGCAUUGGUGGUCAGGUAAUAAUAGGUCACAUAGGGCCACAGGACCAACCUAGGCUCACCAUAAUGGGUCAGUGAAGUUUAUCAAAAAAUUACAGUGGCCUUUGUGUUGAACCAACGUAGGUCCAACAUUGUUUGCUAUUGUGGACCAUUGAGGUUUCGUAUGUUGGGCCAAUGUUAUUACAACAUGCUGGGUCAAUGUUGGACCAACAUGUUGGGCCAGUGUUGGACCAACGUGGUGGGCCAUAGUUAGAUCAAUGCGUUGGACCAACGUAGGGCCACCAAGUUGGGCCAAUGUUGGUCCUACACGUUGGCCCAACGUAGAGCCGAUGAGCAAAAUAACAUUGGGCCAACAAAGUUUGCCAACAUUGGCCCGAUGUAAACAACAUUGUUGGGCCUAAGUUGGCCCAACGUAGUCAUGCUA